AUUCGUCAGAUGGAUCCUACUGCUUAAUUAUUCAGACUUCAAUUUCUGCACACUAAUAAGUGAUAUAAAACAUGUAAGAUGCAUGAAUAAUGUCAUAUCCGGUGCAUAUACAGAUCAAAUUGCACAUUCAAAGUUACAAAUCCAAUAUCAAUAUAUGCAGAUCUAAAAGAUAUAUAUUUGCACUCGAUCUGCAGAAACAAAAACAAACUACCAAGAUCGCAAUCUAAGAACAUGUACACGACUUCAUCUCCUCCAGAAAACACUAGAUCUUGAUUUGCUAUCUCAAGGAGCAAAUUAAAAAAAAGCUGAAGCUGAACUUACAUGGACUGUUGAACUCCUGAUUUGGCCUAAUCGAUCGUCCUUGUAUAAGAUCAGGCUAAGAUCGAGAAGCCAAGCUACCUGCUCCUAGGGUUUCAUCAUCAAUCAAUCAAGCUGGUGUGCUGCCAUGAGAAGAUGAAGCUGCCGGAUGAUCUGAUCGCUGGUUUGAGAUGCUUUCAGAUCAUGCUGGCAGCUUCACCUGCUUAUGGCGCACAAACAAAGCGAAUUAACAGCCCAUCUCAUCUACCUCCAUAAUCGCCAUGCCUAGUAGCUAGCUAGAGAGAUAUGGGAGAAGAAACCUUAUCAAAGAGAGAGAUUAGGGGGAUGGGCAAAAUAAGGCGUGCGUUGGUGGAGUGGGAGAAGGUGAUU
rnacentral:precursor_RNA from 1 species